AAAGAGUACGGGGCUCGCCCCGACGCUCCAACCCCAUGCUCAUCCUCCUCCGUUGCUUCGGCGGGUCGACGUUCGUCGUCGCCGGCGCCUCGCCGGAAAGCGCCCGCCGAAGGACCAUUUAAAACCUUUCUUAUCGGUGUCGUCUGAAACUAUCGAUUAAAAGUCA
rnacentral:misc_RNA from 1 species